GUCCCUGUAGCUCAGAUGGAUAGAGCGACGCCCUCCUAAGGCGUAGGUCGUGCGUUCGACUCGCACCAGGGACG
rfam:Omnitrophica bacterium RBG_13_46_9 RBG_13_scaffold_15552, whole genome shotgun sequence.